rnacentral:rRNA from 1 species
UACGUAGGGCGCAAGCGUUAUCCGGAAUUAUUGGGCGUAAAGAGCUCGUAGGCGGUUUGUCGCGUCUGCCGUGAAAGUCCGGAGCUCAACUCCGGAUCUGCGGUGGGUACGGGCAGACUAGAGUGAUGUAGGGGAGACUGGAAUUCCUGGUGUAGCGGUGAAAUGCGCAGAUAUCAGGAGGAACACCGAUGGCGAAGGCAGGUCUCUGGGCCACUACUGACGCUGAGAAGCGAAAGCGUGGGGAGCGAACAGG